rnacentral:rRNA from 1 species
UACCAGCACCCCGAGCGGUCGGGACGAUUAUUGGGCCUAAAGCAUCCGUAGCCGGUUUUACAAGUCCUCCGUUAAAUCCAGCUGCUUAACAGAUGGGCUGCGGAGGAUACUAUAAGACUAGGAGGCAGGAGAGGCAAGCGGUACUCAGUGGGUAGGGGUAAAAUCCUCUGAUCCGCUGAAGACCACCAGUGGCGAAGGCGGCUUGCCAGAACGCGCUCGACGGUGAGGGAUGAAAGCUGGGGGAGCAAACCGG